rnacentral:lncRNA from 1 species
UGAAUCGCGCGACUGGCAAAAGUCCGUUUUUCCUGAAUUACGGAUACAACCCUGCCUUGCCUGUUCGGUGGGAGUUGGACGUCAACUUGCCUGCAGCAAAGACGUUUGCCAAGGCCUUUGUGUCCCGACUGACUGACACUAAAUCUUGCCAGAUCUUUAUGGCUCUGACCUCUGGGUCAGACGGUGAGCGGGACGCUGUCAUGGAUGUCUACAAGUAAAUGCCGCCUCAGGUGGAAGUCCAUACUUGCAGAAGUAUGGGCGGGGGUCGUAGCACAGGCUACGACUGGGACGCUGGUCCCUGGCUCACGGAGCCCCAUCAUCGAUUGGAAGCAUGGAUCAACAGUACGCCAUUCCGGACUGGACCAUGCCUUUUCGGAAUUGGCUGUACGAUUCAUGGGAUGGCCGCAUCCUCCGCUAUUUAAGCGGGCAAAACCCUCCCAAAUCGGUGACUUCCAAUGCCACCAUCCAGUUGUGGUUUAGUAAGAUACAACAAUCUCAGUGGUGGCGGCACCCAUCUCCAUGUUGGGCUGAAUGGGCAGGGCAGAAUGGGGGAAAGUGGGACAUGGCAAGGGUAGGGACAGGGUGUGAGGAAUUGAAAGCAAGGCACAGUGGUGGCUUUGUGCCCAGCAUGAACAAAGGCAGGCGACUGGGUUUCUGUGAGGUGGCCAUCAUGCAACAUGAGUUGCACCAGGUGCCAUACCCUAACAUAUGUGCAUGUAUGACAGACAACCCAACACCUGUUCAGCAGCUUGGCUAUCACUCCUGGUGCCUGUACAAACCCGUGGCUUGCAGCCUGACAUGCCCACUGUUGUAUCCUGUAAAGCUUUCUGCACGGUUUGGGCUCAGAAUCCUAACUGUCGGUGGUUAGCUUGUCCAGUUCGAUUUACCAAACUUCACUGUUACUUACGAAUACCUGUCAAUCCCACUGUUGGUGAUUACAGGUCUAACUAAUACUGAUAUUAGUUUACUUGCGGCUACUGUUAGCUGUUGUGGCUAAAGCGACUACUGAUAGUCGUCCACCAUUCAAACACCACACUGCUGUGGAAGUCCAUAUCUGCAUAUGGGUGUAUUGCGGCUACUGUUAGCUGCGGCAGCUAAAGCGACUACUGAUACUCGUCCACCAUCUUAAUGCUGCACUGCUGUGGAAGUCCAUACCUGCAUAUGGGUGGGGGAUUUACCUCUGUAAAGCUGGGACCUGUGUCCCUGUUUCGUCUAACUGAGUAGUUCCUGCAAGCUAUGGCUACUGGAUACUGUAUCACCCAGUUGUACUGGGGACUUAUUGGCAUGAGGCCCAAGUGGAGUCACUGAUGACUAUUCAUCUAAUACACUUGUCUCAAUCGGUAUCUUUUGAUGCCCCCAUUAUGUGGUUGUGUCAUCUGAGCUAUACAACACCCACUUACCUGCUGCAGCCCACUGCCUGGCGCUGGUGCCAUCCCUGGCUGCGGCAGCUGCAUUGCCCCCUACUGCCCAUCCUCUUCCCCUGCUUCAGCACCUUCGGCAGCCAUGGCAGCAUCCACCUCAGCGGUGGUGGCACCCAUCUCCAUGUUGGGCUGAAUGGGCAGGGCAGAAUGGGAAAAGUUGGGACAUGGCAAGGGUGGGGGCAGGCUGUGAGCAGGCCAAAUCACACUGUUUGUGAACUAGGUAACACAGGGAUCACAGACACAGGAUAUGGGUUAAAUGCCAGUUCCCUGGGAGCUCCUCACAUUUACAUGAACCCAUGGUUUGGUUCCCUUGUAAAUUGGUAACUUGUCUCUAAAAGCCCACCUGCUCUGUUGAAGAAGACGUGUUCCCAUGCUGUAAGCUGGGAAAUGGCAGUGAAGCCAGGCCAAGGUUUAAUCACUACCAUGUGCCAAAUGCCAGUUGCCACGUGAUAGCCUGCCAAAUUGUGCACUCCACACGUUAUCCAAAGAACACAGAAUGAAGAUAUUCAAUAAGCCAGACCUACCUGCCAUGCAGUUUGUGCUUGGUUGCCCUCUGCCCCCUUAUGUAGCAGUAACGCAGUCACUGCCGCGGAUAGCGGAAGAGUUUGUAGCAGCGGCUCUACCUCGGUCGGGUCCACUACGCC